rnacentral:rRNA from 1 species
GUCGAGAAUAAUUCACAAUGGACGAAAGUCUGAUGGUGCAACGCCGCGUGGAGGAUGAAGGUCUUCGGAUUGUAAACUCCUGUCAUCGGGGAGUAAGACCUGGCGGUAAAUAGCCGACAGGGUUGAUAGUACCCGAAGAGGAAGGGACGGCUAACUUCGUGCCAGCAGCCGCGGUAAUACGAAGGUCCCAAGCGUUGUUCGGAAUCACUGGGCGUAAAGGGAGCGUAGGCGGCGUGGUAAGUCAGAUGUGAAAUCCCGGGGCUCAACCCCGGAACUGCAUACGAUACUGCCAUGCUUGAGGGUUGGAGAGGUAGCUGGAAUUCUCGGUGUAGCAGUGAAAUGCGUGGAUAUCGAGGGGAACACUCGUGGCGAAGGCGAGCUACUGGACAACAUCUGACGCUGAGGCUCGAAGGCCAGGGGAGCAAAAGGGAUUAGAUACCCGAGUAGUCC